rnacentral:ncRNA from 1 species
CUUCGGGGCGGGGUGAAAUUCCCCACCGGCAGUAAAAGCAUUUAAUGCUUAAAGCCUGCGAGCUGCUUUUCAGCGGUUGAUUCGGUGAAAUUCCGAAGCCGACGGUACAGUCCGGAUGAUAGAAG